AGGAUACUCCGCCCUAAUGCAACGCACGAUGUCGGGGUAUGUGGAGAUCUUUGUUCCUGUACCGAAAAAGUGCAUGGGUAUUAUUAUCGGAGCUGGAGGGAGAAAUAUAAUACAAAUUAAACAGGAGACACAAACGAGGAUUACAUCUUGUAGAGAGGAUAACUUUGGGAGUGAAUCUGGUUUUAAAGUCACUGGCACUACAACUUGUUGUGAAGCAGCGCGACUGGAAAUACAACGUCGCAUAGUAAGUAUCAGUAUCUUAUACACCUAUCUUAGUGAUAAUUUAACUAAGCGGGGUAGAAUCUGGUCUAAAAUCAAACGCGUGAUCAGAAAGUCGACCUUGUGUGUCACCUUUAUACUAUACCGGAAGUACUUCUUGCCGAUGUUUGGCGAUGUUCCAUUUCUGCCACCAUUUGGAGAAAUUUUCGCACUUGAUGACAGGUUCAGAGAUUGGUUGGAGGAGAAGAAGAAGAAGAAAAAAAAAAUCUUUCGGCGUUUCUUGCAUGUUUGCCUCAUUCGUAUCUGGUACUGUACAUCUUUAUUGUAUUGACCAGUCGGAUCCAUUGGCAGUUUCGAAAACUUGGCCCAU